AUACGGAGGAUGCGAGCGUUAUCCGGAUUUAUUGGGUUUAAAGGGAGCGUAGGCGGGAGCUUAAGUCAGCGGUUAAAUGGUGCGACUCAACCGUGCCCUGCCGUUGAAACUGGGUUUCUUGAGAGUGCAAGAGGCGGAUGGAAUUCAUGGUGUAGCGGUGAAAUGCUUAGAUAUCAUGAAGAACUCCGAUUGCGAAGGCAGUCCGCUGGGGCACGUCUGACGCUGAUGCUCGAAGGUGCGGGAAUCAAACAGGAUUAGAUACCCUGGUAGUCCGCACGGUAAACGAUGAUUACCCGCUGUCGGCGGUAGACAGUCGGCGGCCAAGCGAAAGCGAUAAGCGCCCCACCUGGGGAGUACGGUCGCAAGGCUGAAACUCAAAUGAAUUGACGGG
rnacentral:rRNA from 1 species